UACGGAGGAUGCAAGCGUUAUCCGGAAUUAUUGGGCGUAAAGCGUCCGCAGGUGGCUGUUCAAGUCUGCUGUUAAAGCGUGCAGCUUAACUGCAUAUCGGCAGUGGAAACUGAAGAGCUAGAGUUCGGUAGGGGUAGCGGGAAUUCCCAGUGUAGCGGUGAAAUGCGUAGAUAUUGGGAAGAACACCAGCGGCGAAAGCGCGCUACUGGGCCGAGACUGACACUGAGGGACGAAAGCUAGGGGAGCGAAA
rnacentral:rRNA from 1 species